UCCAGUGCUAAGAGUUGUGGGGAUGUGU
rnacentral:piRNA from 1 species